GGCAUAUCAAUAAGCGGAGGAAAAGAAACCAACAGGGAUUGCCCUAGUAACGGCGAGUGAAGCGGCAACAGCUCAAAUUUGAAAUCUGGCUCUUUUAGAGUCCGAGUUGUAAUUUGCAGAGGGCGCUUUGGCUUUGGCAGCGGUCCAAGUUCCUUGGAACAGGACGUCACAGAGGGUGAGAAUCCCGUACGUGGUCGCUGGCUAUUGCCGUGUAAAGCCCCUUCGACGAGUCGAGUUGUUUGGGAAUGCAGCUCUAAAUGGGAGGUACAUUUCUUCUAAAGCUAAAUAUUGGCCAGAGACCGAUAGCGCACAAGUAGAGUGAUCGAAAGAUGAAAAGCACUUUGGAAAGAGAGUCAAACAGCACGUGAAAUUGUUGAAAGGGAAGCGCUUGCAGCCAGACUUGCUUACAGUUGCUCAUCCGGGUUUUUACCCGGUGCACUCUUCUGUAGGCAGGCCAGCAUCAGUUUGGGCGGUAGGAUAAAGGUCUCUGUCACGUACCUCCUUUCGGGGAGGCCUUAUAGGGGAGACGACAUACUACCAGCCUGGACUGAGGUCCGCGCAUCUGCUAGGAUGCUGGCGUAAUGGCUGUAAGCGGCCCGUCUUGAAACACGGACCAAGGAGUCUAACAUCUAUGCGAGUGUUUGGGUGUCAAGCCCGAGCGCGUAAUGAAAGUGAACGGAGGUGGGAACCCGCAAGGGUGCACCAUCGACCGAUCCUGAUGUCUUCGGAAGGAUUUGAGUAAGAGCAUGGCUGUUGGGACCCGAAAGAUGGUGAACUAUGCUUGAAUAGGGUGAAGCCAGAGGAAACUCUGGUGGAGGCUCGCAGCGGUUCUGACGUGCAAAUCGAUCGUCAAAUUUGGGCAUAGGGGCGAAAGACUAAUCGAACUAUCUAGUAGCUGGUUCCUGCCGAAGU
rnacentral:rRNA from 1 species